rnacentral:rRNA from 1 species
CCUUUGACGUUAGCGGCGGACGGGUGAGUAACACGUGGGUAACCUACCUAUAAGACUGGGAUAACUUCGGGAAACCGGAGCUAAUACCGGAUAAUACUUCGAACCGCAUGGUUCGAUAGUGAAAGGUGGUUUUGCUAUCACUUAUAGAUGGACCCGCGCCGUAUUAGCUAGUUGGUAAGGUAACGGCUUACCAAGGCGACGAUACGUAGCCGACCUGAGAGGGUGAUCGGCCACACUGGAACUGAGACACGGUCCAGACUCCUACGGGAGGCAGCAGCA